UGGCAUCGAGUUUCACUCCCAACCCUUAUGUGAACCGUACCUAUCGUUGCUUCGGCGGGAACGCCCCGGCGCCCUGCGCCCGGAUCCAGGCGCCCGCCGGAGACCCCAAACUCUUGUGUUUUUUUCAGUAUUCUCUGAGUGGCAAACGCAAAAAUAAAUCAAAACUUUUAACAACGGAUCUCUUGGCUCUGGCAUCGAUGAAGAACGCAGCGAAAUGCGAUAAGUAAUGUGAAUUGCAGAAUUCAGUGAAUCAUCGAAUCUUUGAACGCACAUUGCGCCCGUUAGCAUUCUAGCGGGCAUGCCUGUCCGAGCGUCAUUUCAACCCUCAGGGUCCCCGUUCCGGCGGGGAACCUGGUGUUGGGGAUCGGCCCGCCCCGCGCGGCGCCGUCCCCCAAAUUCAGUGGCGGUCUCGCUGCAGCCUCCCCUGCGUAGUAGUUACAACCUCGCAUCGGAGCUCAGCGCGGCCACGCCGUAAAACCCCCGACUUUCUGAACGUUGACCUCGGAUCAGGUAGGAAUACCCGCUGAACUUAAGCAUAUCAAUAGCCGGGAGGAA
rnacentral:rRNA from 1 species